GUUGUAUUCACGCAAACAUCAUCGUCAAGGUGAAACGAACUAUGUACAAGACUUGUCAUUAGGAGAGUUGCGUUUUAUACUUGCACGUAAACAGGCAGUUCGUCGGUAGUGCAUACAGCCAAAGGUAUUAAACGACACCACAGUUUAAGUGGAGAAAAAUUUAUGGCUUGUUUCAUCGAUUGAAUUGUCAACGUGAUAUCCAGCGAUAGCGAUGGAUGGAAUUAUUGCCAUGUCCUGUCUUCUCGACACUUAUCUGUUUCGUAUCGAUUCGUAAAAAACGAUCGAGAGAGGAACCCAAGUCACGGUGAAACAAGAGUAAACAGAAAUUAGCCGUGACAUUGCUCAGGCUACUUUAAUGGAAGUUGUGUAACUUGGUUCUCUAUACAAACAUUUAUCAUACGUGCCCACGCAUUGUCGACAUUUGCAUUGUCGAUUGUUGCGAAAUCCCAUUCGAUCAAAGAAACCGUGAAGCCAAGUAAAACAACGUAUCUUCGCCGAUAACUUAUUUGAAAAUCUUGAACUUUUUGUAAUAAAAAUCGCCUACGAUAACCUUUCAUGCCAGAGGGUAUGAUAAGCAGAUGAAUUACGACUAGUUUGCAACUAAACGCGUGAUAACUGAUCCAUUAUCUGAUUAUGUUGUUUAUAAGGAAAAGUACAUCUUCACAAGGAAAAGUGCCAAUUUCUUAUUUUUGAGCAUCAAGAUUGCGAGUUUCGCAGAUGAAAAAUCCCUUUCAAUUCUUAUUCGUAACACAGCACGCAUGUUGUUACGAAUCAAAAUGAUUUCUAUACAAACGACAAGCGGUUACGUAACUAAUUGUAUACGUUCAAGACAGGUGCAUACACCAAAUGGAAAUUGCUCUUGACGGGAUUGCUACAGAGAUCCGCGAGGACAAAGUGAAAGUGUGUGCGCGAGGAUCGAUGGAUGUCAGUAAACUCUUAACGAGAAUGUCGUAAGGUUAAGGACUCAACAUUCGCAACAUUUCAUACAUCGGCAAUGAUUCAGUCAUUUCAUAGUCGACAUUGAUCAGAUCGAUUAAUGCAAGAAACGUAUGUACUGGAUGGAGAAAAGAAUACCUACACAUACCUAUAUAUGCUGGAUUGGAACGUGGGUGUUUCUUUAACAGUCCGACGACUUACUGCUCGACAAAUCUUUGGAAUAGUAACAAGACGUGGUCAAAUAAUAUUGGCAAAUAUCGACCGAAUGAAAAACCUCAAAGAUAACGAGGAGCCAAUCGUGUGAACCUGCAAAUGUGUUGCAACAGUGACAGACAAGUAACACUGGAUACAGAUUUCGAGGGAAGUUCAUGAAGGAGAAAAAGUUUCUUACAUUCACCGUUCACUGAUCACACUCUAUCGAAACUGCGACAUCCUUCAGAUUCGGCGAGAUACAACGUACAUAAUCACACGUCGCGACUUACGAGCAUGAUCCUUCUCCCGAACUUCUUAUGUGUUGGGUGUUUUUGGAGCUGCAUAUCGUCGGUAACAAUGAAUACACGCGUAUGUAGAAUUGGAGUACACGCGUCGCGCCUGCGCGUAUGUAUUUCAAGUACAGUCUUGUGCAUAAACUGAUUAUUUGAAUCGAUUGAGUAGUUCAUUGAACUUAAAA